GGAAGGGCCGCGGCGGGCGGCCGGGGUCGGCGACAGGGGGAUGACCGCUGGUCUCGGGUGGCGCGGAGUGGCUCAUUGUGUCCCGGCGACAGUCCGCCCGCGGACACACCCACAGCCUCUUGGGAGGGAGUGGGUGAGGGGAUUGCUCCCUGUGGCCGCCGCUCGCCAGCAGGACGGGGGCUCAGGGCCGAGGAGUGGGGGUGACAAUGGAGUGAGGAAGGUAACCCCGGCCGGAGCCGGGAGCCGCCCGGUGCGGGCGGGCACGCGCAGUCCGCGGAGCAGAAGACAGGCGCGUCUGAUAUUGUGUGGAGUUGGCUGGUUAGUCAUUAAAAAAAGAUGUUUUCUUUAUCCUGCCUAGAUAAUUGAUCGGAGUCAGCAGUGGUGCGGUGGAAAUAUCGGGUUUUGUUCUGGAGAAAUAGAGGCCUUCCCUAAAGUUUCCCAUGACUCAAUGGACUCCUGAAUAUAACGAGCUCUACACCCUGAAAGUGGCUAUGAAGAGUGGGACUCCUCCUGAUGCGCCCACUACACAGGAGAGUCUGAAGGCGGUUCUUCUGCACCCACAGCCCCUAGGGGCCACUAAGAGCUUCCCUGCAGAAGUGGAGAUGAUCAAUAGCAAAGUGGGGAAUGAAUUCUCUCAUCUGUGUGAUGAUUCCCAAAAA
rnacentral:lncRNA from 1 species